rfam:Salmo salar isolate Sally breed double haploid chromosome ssa01, whole genome shotgun sequence.
UAUGAACAUUAUUGUAAGUCGCUUUUGAUAAAAGCAUCUGCUAAAUGGCAUAUA